rnacentral:rRNA from 1 species
UACGUAGGGGGCUAGCGUUGUCCGGAAUCAUUGGGCGUAAAGAGCGUGUAGGCGGCCCGGUAAGUCCGCUGUAAAAGUCAAAGGCUCAACCUUUGAAUGUCAGUGGAUACUGCCGGGCUAGAGUCCGGAAGAGGCGAGUGGAAUUCCCGGUGUAGCGGUGAAAUGCGCAGAUAGUCGGGAGGAACACCAGUAGCGAAGGCGGCUCGCUGGGCCAUUCCUGACGCUGAGACGCGAAAGCUAGGGGAGCGAACAGG